GCGCCGGUGGUGUAAUGGCGUAGAGCAUUCCCGCCCGGUCAGAGGGAGGUGCGGGUUCGAGUCCUGCCUGGCGCU
rfam:Heligmosomoides polygyrus genome assembly, scaffold: HPBE_scaffold0000594